GCCCAAGCCUAAACCUUGGCCUAAGCCUAAGCCUAAGCCUAAGCCUAAGCCUAAGCCUAAGCCUAAGCCUAAGCCUAAGCCUAAGCCUAAGCCUAAGCCUAAGCCAAAGC
ensembl:ncRNA ZK1025.19 ncRNA